rnacentral:rRNA from 1 species
AUUGAACGCUGGCGGCAGGCCUAACACAUGCAAGUCGAGCGGAUGAAGGGAUCUUGCUCCUGGAUUCAGCGGCGGACGGGUGAGUAAUGCCUAGGAAUCUGCCUGGUAGUGGGGGAUAACGUCCGGACACGGGCGCUAAUACCGCAUACGUCCUGAGGGAGAAAGUGGGGGAUCUUCGGACCUCACGCUAUCAGAUGAGCCUAGGUCGGAUUAGCUAGUUGGUGGGGUAAAGGCCUACCAAGGCGGCGUUCCGUAACUGGUCUGAGAGGAUGAUCAGUCACAAUGGAACUGAGACACGGUCCAGACUCCUACGGGAGGCAGCAGUGGGGAAGAUUGGACAAUGGGCGAAGGCCUGAUCCAGCCAUGCCGCGGGUGUGAAGAAGGUCUUCGGAUUGUAAAGCACUUUAAGUUGGGAGGAAGGGCAGUAAGUUAAUACCUUGCUGUUUUGACGUUACCAACAGAAUAAGCACCGGCUAACUUCGUG